rnacentral:rRNA from 1 species
UACGGAGGGUGCAAGCGUUAUCCGGAUUUACUGGGUUUAAAGGGUGUGUAGGCGGGCUGUUAAGUCAGUGGUGAAAUCUCCGGGCUCAACCCGGAAACUGCCAUUGAUACUAAUGGUCUUGAAUUUUGUUGAGGUAGGCGGAAUAAGUCAUGUAGCGGUGAAAUGCAUAGAUAUGACUUAGAACACCAAUUGCGAAGGCAGCUUGCUAAACAAAUACUGACGCUGAGGCACGAAAGCGUGGGGAUCAAACAGG